rnacentral:tRNA from 1 species
GGGGAUGUAGCUCAAUUGGGAGAGCGUUUGAAUGGCAUUCAAAAGGUAGUCGGUUCGAAGCCGAUCAUCUCCACCA